ACGGCCAUAACGCCCCCAGUGGUGAGGCAGACAGGCAGCCUGACAGUAAUAUUAAAUAAUAACAAGAAGCAAUCUGCAUAAGUAACUGACAUACAAACUUAAAAGACACAUUUGUGUCAAGUUUUGCCCUGAAAAGCUCAGGAGUUCUUGUAGACGGGUCAAAAAGAGAACAUAAAAUCCUGAGGGUUGAAUACCACGAGCGCCAUUUUCUGGGUGUGGCAUGGCUAUUUCACCCAUGAGCUGGCCGCAUCUGUGAUUACUUACAGAAGUGUGCAUACGAUCAAACCAGUAAAAUGAAUCAUCAUCCUAAUACCUACACUAAUUGGACUCGUGGACCACAAACAAAGGAGAGGAAAUAAAGACAAGACGGAGACAUGCUGAUAAUUCUACAAUAUCUGGUUAUAUGCUAGAGAGGAAAACCCACAGUAAUCCAGUCCAAAAACCUGGAUGGCUCAGUAUUUCCGUCUGAUAUUGAAGGCCUGGAGUUAUCUGGAAUACCAGUACUGAUACGAAGCAGUCCAAACAAGCUGGAGUCCCAAAAUGCUCAGAAUAAAAGCAGCAACAGCAGCGGCAGCGGGAGCAGCAGCAGAAUUUCUGCAUUUGCUCAGAACAAGAGGAAAAGCAGGUCGUGUGCAGACAACUGUAUUGCUGAGAUCUCAAGAGUGUUACUUUGCUGUCAACUGGAAGACAUACUCUCACGGCAGGCAUUCUGGGCCCCUGGAUAUUAAAAUCUUUCCAAGUGCU